UACGAAGGGGGCUAGCGUUGCUCGGAAUCACUGGGCGUAAAGAGCUCGUAGGUGGUUUGUCGCGUUGUUCGUGAAAACUCACAGCUUAACUGUGGGCGUGCGGGCGAUACGGGCAGACUGGAGUACUGCAGGGGAGACUGGAAUUCCUGGUGUAGCGGUGGAAUGCGCAGAUAUCAGGAGGAACACCGGUGGCGAAGGCGGGUCUCUGGGCAGUAACUGACGCUGAGGAGCGAAAGCGUGGGGAGCGAACAGG
rnacentral:rRNA from 1 species